GAUGAACGCUAGCCACAGGCUUAACACAUGCAAGUCGAGGGGUAACAAGAGGAAAGCUUGCUUUCCUUGUUGACGACCGGCGCACGGGUGAGUAACGCGUAUCCAACCUGCCUAUAACUAGGGAAUAACCUUGCGAAAGUAAGACUAAUACCCUAUGAUUUCCUUUGAUGACAUCAGAUUAGGAAUAAAGAUUUAUCGGUUAUAGAUGGGGAUGCGUCUGAUUAGCUUGUUGGCGGGGUAACGGCCCACCAAGGCAACGAUCAGUAGGGGUUCUGAGAGGAAGGUCCCCCACAUUGGAACUGAGACACGGUCCAAACUCCUACGGGAGGCAGCAGUGAGGAAUAUUGGUCAAUGGGCGGAAGCCUGAACCAGCCAAGUAGCGUGCAGGAUGACGGCCCUAUAGGUUGUAAACUGCUUUUAUACAGGAAUAAAGUUAGCCACGUGUGGUUAUUUGUAGGUACUGUAUGAAUAAGGACCGGCUAAUUCCGUGCCAGCCGCCGCGGUAA
rnacentral:rRNA from 1 species